CAACACCUUGACCUCAGACUUCUAGGUUCCAUAGCUGUGAUGGAACAUGUGUCUGCUGUUGAAGCCACCUUGCCUGAGGCUGCUGACAUGCUGACAACCAGGAGUGUCAUAGCACAAGAAGAGAAUGGAGCAGCCAUUGCCAAGGGGAGACAGAGAGGAGCUGUUCCCAGCUGCAAGCCUGGUCCUGCAAGAGUCUCCACAUUUUUUCCUAGUGCAGGUUGGAUGUAAAUUUCAACCCAAAAGAACUUUAGACCUUCCGAUGGCUAAUUUUACGUGUUAACUUGACUGAGCUAAGGGAUGCUCAGAUAACUGAGCAUUAUUUCUGGGGAUGUCCAUGAGGGUGUCUCUGAAAUGUAUUAGCCUUUGGAUCAAUAGCCUGAGUAAAGAAAGUUGCCCUCA